CAGGGAGACAAAACUGAUUAUGAUGUUUGAAUUGUUUAGCUUCAAGCCAUAAUCCUGUCACCUUAGGUCGAUCGGUACCUCAGUUUGAUAAUUAAAACUAUUAAAUUCAGUUCCUAAACUUUGUCUAGGUCACACCCAGCAAGGGUACUCCUGGGCCAUUAGCUCAGGUGGUUAGAGCGCACCCCUGAUAAGGGUGAGGUCCCUGGUUCAAGUCCAGGAUGGCCCAUUCGGUUUGGGGGUUUAGCUCAGUCGGUAGAGCGCCUGCUUUGCAAGCAGGAUGUCAGCGGUUCGAGUCCGCUAACCUCCACUGACCAACCUCCUGCGAAGGCCAAAUCUUGAGUAACUUGAUUAGAUGUGACUUAGAUUGAUUUCCGCUGAUGGAACCUAGCUUCCUUUCAUUCUCAUCCUAUAUAUAUGGUGAAGUUGAUAGGACGCUGGGCUCACUGUAGUUUUUAAAAUUGCAGCGAUUUCGGCAGAACCUUGACAACUGCAUAGGUAAGUCUGGAAAGAAUAAAGCAUCUCAUGGAUGCAUUUUCUUUAUUGUUUUUUUUAGAAAAGUCAAUAAGAAAAUGUUUAAUUCUUGAGCAAGAGCCGAGACUCUAUAACGUAUCUUUUAUCUUAUAAUUGUGAGAUAAGAGUUGGAUCAAUUAUUCAAUGUCAGAUAGUAAUUAAACAAUUUGGGUUUAUCUCAAAAUGUUUAAUUAGUAUUGGUGAAUAUUGAGAAUUCGUUUUCAACAACGUUUAAAGCGUUAUAGAGGUUUAU
rnacentral:tRNA from 1 species